rnacentral:rRNA from 1 species
GAUGAACGCUGGCGGCGUGCCUAAUACAUGCAAGUCGAGCGAACGGACGAGAAGCUUGCUUUUCUGAUGUUAGCGGCGGACGGGUGAGUAACACGUGGAUAACCUACCUAUAAGACUGGGAUAACUUCGGGAAACCGGAGCUAAUACCGGAUAAUAUUUUGAACCGCAUGGUUCAAAAGUGAAAGACGGUCUUGCUGUCACUUAUAGAUGGAUCCGCGCUGCAUUAGCUAGUUGGUAAGGUAACGGCUUACCAAGGCAACGAUGCAUAGCCGACCUGAGAGGGGGGAUGCGCCACCGUGGAACUGGACACGGGACGACCCUCCUGGGGGGGGCGGCAGGGGGGAAUCUUCGGAAAGGGGCGAAAGCCGGAGGGCGCAACGCGGGGGGGGGGAUGAGGGUCUUGGGAUCGUAAACCUUUGUUUUGGGGAAAAAACAUAUGUGUAAGUACGUGUGCAAAUCUUGACGGUCCCUAAUAAGAAAGCCCCGGCUAACUCCGUC